UACGAAGGGGGCUAGCGUUGCUCGGAAUCACUGGGCGUAAAGGGUGCGUCGGCGGGUCUUUAAGUCGGGGGUGAAAUCCUGGAGCUCAACUCCAGAACUGCCUUUGAUACUGAGGAUCUUGAGUUCGGGAGAGGUGAGUGGAACUGCGAGUGUAGAGGUGAAAUUCGUAGAUAUUCGCAAGAACACCAGUGGCGAAGGCGGCUCACUGGCCCGGUACUGACGCUGAGGUGCGAAAGCGUGGGGAGCAAACAGG
rnacentral:rRNA from 1 species